rnacentral:rRNA from 1 species
GACGAACGCUGGCGGCGUGCUUAACACAUGCAAGUCGAACGGAAAGGCCCUGCUUUUGUGGGGUGCUCGAGUGGCGAACGGGAGCGUAACACGUGAGUAACCUGCCCUUGACUUUGGGAUAACUUCAGGAAACUGGGGCUAAUACCGGAUAGGAGCUCCUGCUGCAUGGUGGGGGUUGGAAAGUUUCGGCGGUUGGGGAUGGACUCGCGGCUUAUCAGCUUGUUGGUGGGGUAGUGGCUUACCAAGGCUUUGACGGGUAGCCGGCCUGAGAGGGUGACCGGCCACAGUGGGACUGAGAUACGGCCCAGACUCCUACGGGAGGCAGCAGUGUGGAAUAUUGCACAAUGGGCGGAAGCCUGAUGCAGCAACGCCGCGUGCGGGAUGACGGCCUGCGGGUUGGAAGCCGCUUUCGCCUGUGACGAAGCGUGUGUGACGGUAAUGGGUAAAGAAGCACCGGCUAACUACGUG